rnacentral:lncRNA from 1 species
UACAAUUUUGAAUGAAGGAAAAACAUGGAAAACAUAUGUCCUUCACAAAAAAUUAUGGAACAAUCACAGAAGUCUCUGUCGCACUAGUGUAACCUCCUGUAAAAAUAUCAGAGCCAAAAUGCUGCUGGAACUUGAGUUAAAAAUAGAUCCCUAUAAUCUGCCAUAGGGUACUGUUUUAAUUUUAGUUAAUUUUGUAGAUGUUCAAUGCAUCCCAAAAUUUUACAGUAGCUCACUGUUGUGAUUAGGAAGCCUCUGUAAAAUUUUCAUAACCAUACCUUACCGGAAGCUACUAGAAACAUUUAUGAAAGUUAAACCCAAAAAUAAAAUGAAUAAAAACCGUUAGGUAAUAGUAAGGGUAAAAUGGUAAUUUUGGAAGAGGUACAGAAAAAUAUUAAGAAAAAGGAUAACUUUUGAAAUGAACCUUGAGCAACCCUAAAGUGACCCUCCCCA